UACGUAGGGGGCUAGCGUUGUCCGGAUUUAUUGGGCGUAAAGAGCGUGUAGGCGGCCAGGUAGGUCUGCUGUGAAAACUCGAGGCUCAACCUCGAGACGUCGGCGGAAACCAUCUGGCUAGAGUCCGGAAGAGGAGAGUGGAAUUCCUGGUGUAGCGGUGAAAUGCGCAGAUAUCAGGAAGAACACCCGUGGCGAAGGCAGAUCUCUGGGCCGUAACUGACGCUGAGGAGCGAAAGCAUGGGGAGCGAACAGG
rnacentral:rRNA from 1 species